CCGGCAGCGGUUUCCCGUCAACCUCCGGGGCAUCCCGGCUUCCGGUUUGGGUGUGGCCGCGGGGCGGGGUGUGCUCCAGGUGUCCCAACAGUCUGUUGGCUUUGCGACCCGGACCUGACAGAAGUGCGUGGAACCAAAACUCUAAAGUUAGGCGUCGAGUUUGGGGCCGCAGCCAAGCGUGCAGGAUUCUGCUGGCCUGCGAGAUGAUGAAAUUACUUUGCAGAUCUCUAAGAGUCUCAUGGCAGGCUGAGGAACCUCCUUUUGUUGUAUGAAAACCGAAGGGUAGGGGUAGUUAGCUCCAGAUUUCCGUUCUGGGGUCUAAAAGACAUUGCAGCUUUAAUAACUUUGGCCGUUUAUCUCGUAUGAGAGGCUGUCACGGAUUUAAUAGAAUCUUGUGAGUUUUCUACCUAUAAAGUCCGUUCCCUUCUUGCAGCAUUUAUCACCUCCUGGUUUGUGUUUGGUUGUCAACAACAUGAUGGCUUGGAAGAACACUGUGGGACUCUGCAUUAGAACAGUCAGCUGGUGCCUUGAUUUUAACCUUAUGAGAUCCUGAGCACCUAUGCUAUGCCUUGAAUUCUGACCAGCAGAACUAGUGUCUUGGCUUUCCAUGCCUGAAAUAUAGAUAUGGUUUGAGUGAGGUAUGGCCUGCGGGAAGUCCUUAGGAUGCUGCCCUUGGAAUGGAUCAAGAUGGCUGUCACGGGACCCCUGAGCUUUCGUGAGAGCAUGUCUCUGUAUUUGUAUGCUUGAAAAUACACAACAAUCCUGGAUCUCUAUGUAACUCAAGGAGAAGCCUAUAAACAUCAACUUCCAAGCCUUUGAAACACUCAUCAACAAAAACAGAAACCAUGGCCAAGAUCCAAUAUUUUCUGAGUAAUCAUAAUGUCUUACUAUUGCAAUUUUCCAGGAUAAUUUACAAUAAAUGAAUUAGCUGCUUUCUAUAUUACCCUUUAUCACUUUAUGCUUUAAGGUGCAUGGGUACUUAGUGCUCUUCCUUAGGGGGCUAUAAAUGCACAACUUUUUAUUUCCUUUAUAUAAUAUUAAAUUGUUAGCAGUUUAAUGUCAAUUUAUUAAUUAUUCUCACUUCUUAUUUGCUCUUAUGUUUCUCACAGGUAUAAUUCUAAUUUAUCUGAUUUGUAGGGACAGUCCUUCUUGUUCCUUAUGGAACAUAAAAGGACAUAUCAUAUAACUGUUUAUUUUAAACAUUUUGUCCAACCACAGGUGUCACUCUGAACUUAUCUCCUGGGUCAAAUAACAAUCUAAAACCAAACUAAAUAUAGACAUUUGGAAUCUAAUUCUGAUGUCAUUAAGGUCAUAUGAUGCUCUUUUUCACUGAAAACGUGAACUAAAAAUUAUUUUAAUUUUACUUUAUCCUGAUUCACAAAAUAAUCUUUAGUUCUAUGUAACAAAUGUCUGUAAUUCUUUACCACAGGAAAUUUUUCUUCCCAUUCUUAUGUUGCCAUUAAUUAAUUCCCUUAAUAAAUGUCUGUUAGUCCAGAUAAUAUGCCCGACAGACCACAAGGUCCUGCUCCUACCCAUGCUAUUUAUAUUCCAGUAGGAGAGAAUGCCUCUUUGAAGUGAGACCUUAAUGACAAGGAGGGAGUCAUGCUAAGAACUGGGAGAGGAACAUUCCAGGAACAAGAAACAUCACUGCAAAAGCCCUGAUCAAGAUGGCUUCAAUAGUUCCUUCAGCAUCGUUAUAUCUUAGGUUGGCUUCUUCCUGACUCUUGGCUCUCCUCUGUCUUUUCUUAGAGCAUUUACGUCACAAAACUUGCAGUUGUGAAUUCCUUUCUCUUUUCUUUGGAGUUAUAUGUGAAUCUUUGAAGACUAUCUUGUCACUUUACAAUCACAAAAAUGACUUUCCUGAGGACCUGAAAGCUAUCUUUUUGAACUGUAACCAUCAAAGGAGAUGACCUUCCUACUUCCUGGUUUCUCUGGGAGGGUGGGAAGAUAACUUCAGUGGGUAACUUGUCAGAAGUUGUAAAACCACCUCUUGUUAUUAAGAAACAGAUAUCUGUUUUCCUUUGGGUAAAGCCUAAGCUAUUCCUCUUACCCAAGCAUUUAAAAAUCCUACCUACAUAUGGCCUAAGUUCUUCCUUUCCACCCAUGCAUUUAAAAACCCUGCCUCCCUCUGUUUCAGCAGAGUUAAGGGUUCUGCCAUCUCUCCCUUAUUGCAAAAAAUAGCCUUGAAGAAAGUCUUCCUUGUCUGUUUAACUUUACUCAGUGCAGCUUUUACAUUGACAGCCCUGUGGUGGGUACACGCUAAUUGUUUUAGUGGGGAAAUAGUAGCAGAUCAGUGUAUAUUAUAAAUUUGUGAGUGAAGAUGAUAGUGAGAUGAGGUCAGGUAGAGAGAGAGGCAAGGACCAGGUCAGGUAGGGUCAAGUGUAUUACAAUAGGGAGCUUGGAAUUUGUGGGAAACUGUCGGAGACAUUAUACAGGGAACAACAUACUUUUGCAUCUCAUUUUGGCUGCUCUGUGGAGAAUUGAUAUUCGUGGAAUAGGAGCAAAGGCUGAAGGUUAGAGAAGUUGAUACAGUAAUUUAGGUAAAACCAUUUGGGUUCAUAUUAUAGCUUUAUUAUUUACUAAAUGUGUUAGGCAUCUUUCCAAGGUCAUAGCUGGUGUUCUUAUAUGCCUGGCAAAUACUUAGCCUAUCUUUUGCUUUAGUGUCUGAAAGAUGGGAAAUAUAUGUGAACUAUACAUGAUUAUAAAAUAUGGAACUAAUAUACACAAGUUAUUCAGGAUUGUUUUCAUGUUGAAUGAGCUAAUAUAAAUGAAGUAUUUACAACCACUGUUAAAUUACACAUUAAUAAAAUCUGCUUCUCCAAAUACAAUGAUCUAAAUAUUUUAUCCUAUUUUUAAGUAUAUCCAGAAGACUUUCCAGUUGUAUCUCAAGAAUAUAACCAAAUACAACAUCCUUUUGGGAUAAAAUCCUUAGGCAAAUUAGGGAUAGAAGGAACAUAUUUAAACACAAUCAAGGCACUAUAUGACAGACUCAUAGCCAGCAUCAUAUUGAAUGGGGGGAAAGCUAGAAGCAUUUCCACUCAGAUCCAGAACAAGUAAAGGAUGCCCACUUUUACCAUUACUACUCAAUAUAGUUGUGGAAAAUUUAGCCAGAGCCAUUAGGCAAGAAAAAGAAGUCAAAGGGGUGCCAAAGGAAAAGGAGGAAGUCAAUUUAUUCCUGUUUGCAAAUGACAUGAUCCUAUACAUAGGGAAGCCAAAAAACUCCACUAAGGGUCCAUCAGAACUCAUAAGAGAAUUUGGCAAGGUUGAAGGAUAUAAAAUCAACACACAAAAAUCAAUAGCAUUGUAUAUGCAAACCAUGCCAUGGCUGAGAAAAAACUUGUAAGAUCAGUCCCAUUCACAAUAGCUAAAAAAAUUUAGAUACCUUCAGAUAAAUUUAACCAAGGAUGUAAAAGAUCUCUACAAUGGAAAUUUCAAAAUAUUAAGGAAAGAAAUAGAAGACACACACAAAAUGGAAAAAUCUUCCUUAUUCAUGGAUUGGAAGAUUUUAAUAUCAUCAAAAUAUUCAUAUUACCUAAAAUAAUUUACAGAUUAAAUAUGAUUCCAAUCAAAAUACCAAGGGUAUUUCUUCUCAGAUCUAGAAAAAUUACCCUAAAAUUCAAAUGGAAACACAAGAGACCCUGAAUGGAUAAAGCUAUCUUAAAUAGCAAAAACAAAGGCUGAGAUAUCACAUUACCAGAUUUCUAGACAUAUUACAAGGCAGUUGUAAUCAAAAUGGCCUGAUAGAUAGUGGCACAAAAAUAGACAUGUAGACUAAUGGAACAGAUUAGAAUUCCAGAAAUUAAUCCAUGCAUCUACAACUGACUAAACUUUGACAAGCAAGCUAAAAUUACUCCUGGGGGAAAGGACAGUCUCUUCAAUAAAUUGUGUUGGGUAAAUUGGAUCUUUACAUACAGAAGUAUGAAAUAAGACCCCCUACUUUAUACCUGUACAAAAAUCAACUUACAGUGGAUCAAGGAUAUAAGCCUAAACCGGAACCCAUCAACUUGCUAAAUAUAGGGGAAAUCCUGCAAGACAUUGGCGUAGCCAAUGAUUUCUUGAAUAAGACCCCAGAAACAGGGCAAUCAAAGCCAAAAUAGACAAAUGGGAUAACUUCAAGCUAUGAAGCUUCUACAUAACAAAGAAAACAACAACAAAAUAAAAAGGCAACCUACAGAAUAAUGAGAAAAUAUUAAUGAACUAUACAUCUGUAAAGAAUUAUUAUCCAGAAUAUAUUAGGAGCUCAUGAAACUUAGCAGCAACAACAAAACAAUGAAUCUAGUUAAGAAAUGGGCUAAGGAUAUGAACAGGCAUUUUUCAAAGGAUAAAAUACAUAUGACCAAUAGACACAUGAAAAAAUGUUCAGGAUCACUAGCCAUCAGGGAAAUGCAAAUGAAAACCACAAUGAGGUUUCACCUCAUCCCAGUUAGAAUGGCUAUCAUCCAAAAAUCCAAAAUUAACAAAUACUGGUAAGGAUAUGGAGAAAAAGGUACCUUAAUACACUGUUGGUGGGAAUGUAAACUAGUGCCACCAUAAUGAAAGACAGUGUGGAGAUUCCUCAGGAAUCUGAAAAUCUACCAGAUGAUCCAUCCACCCCCUCCUGAAAUCAGCAUAUGAAAGAGUUAUCUGUACCCUCAUGUUUAUAGCAGCUCAAUUCACAAUAGAGCAACCCAGAUGUCCAUCAAAUGAUGACUGGAUGAAGAAAAAUGUGGUAUUUAUAUAUGAUGGAAUAAUAAAAAAUAAUUAAAUCCUGUUUCUUGCAAAAAAAUGGAUGCAAUUGGAGACCAUUAUGCUUAGUGUAAAAAGACAAAUAUCAUACAUUUUUGUUGAUUUGUGGUAACUAAUACAUGAAGUACUAAGAAAAGUAAUGUGUGUGAGUAUAAUUCAUAUUUUGAGAUGCUAUUAUUUUUUCUAACCCUUGUCUAUAUUCCUGAGGAACAGUGGUCUUUCUACUUAAUACUCAUUGAAGCCUUAAUUUAGUGGAGAAUUAAGCUUGUGAUUAUAAACUAAAAUUAUGCCAUCACAAAAAUUAAAUAUAAGGGUGUCAGCAUUGUGGUAUAAUGGGUUAAGCUGCUGCCUGCAAUGCCAGUUUGAGCCCUGGCUGCUCCAUUUCCCAUCCAGCUCCCUGCUGAUGUCCUUGGGAAAGCAACAGAGGAUGGCCCAAGUGUUUGGGUCCCUGCACCCAUGUGAGAGAACAGGAUGAAGCUCCUGGAUCCUGGCUUUGGCUUGGCUCAGCACUAACCAUUGUGGCCACCUAAGGAGUGAACCAACAGAUGGAAGAUCUUUCUUUCUCUCUCCGUCUCUGUCUCUGUCUCUCUCUUGGUAACUCUACAUUUUGAAUAAGUAAAAUAAAAUGAAAUAAAGAAAAACAAGAAAGGAAGGAGGAGGUAGGGUGAGAAUAUGGGCGGGAGGGAGGAUGGAAGGCAUCAUUAUGUUCUUAAAACUGUAUUUAUGAAAUGCAUGAGAUCUCUUGUCUUUAUAUGAAUAAAUAAAAACAUUAAAAAAUCCAUAAAAAGAAAAAAGAAUAAAAAAAGGUUAUAACCAGAGAGAAUUAAGGUAAAAUUAAGUACAUAGACAUUGGUUUAAUGCUCCUUAUUUCCAAAUAGACACAGUUUUUUUAAAGUGAUGAUUAUUGUAUAGCAUUCAGACUCAAACUUUUUGCUUAGAUUUCAUGUAAUUUUUCCUAUUUGGAUAUAGAAUUACUACAUUUGAAGAAUGACUCCCACUGCAUAAAUUGUUUGUUAAUCCAUUAUAAUUGCCAUCUCAUCUUCCCAGAGAAAUUUUACCUCUGCUUUCCUCUUGAGAACUUAUUAAUACUGAUAACACUAAAGAAUCAUUUAAAAUAGAAUGUUUAGUGUAUGCUGCUAUAUUUAAUCUAUCCUGAGUUGAGUUUUUACAGGGUGAUAAGGACAAUUAUUAUACUCCCAGGAGGCUUAAUUUUUUUUCGCUCCCAUACAGCAUCAAUCACAGAACUUUGCUUAUAACAUUUAAUAGUUAAUGAUCCUGAUGGUAAAUAGGAAGGAGCAACCUGGCACAUGUAAUGCACAAAAGAGGUUGAUAGUUCAUAUCACUGAGCUUAUUAAACAAAAGACAAAGCUGAACAUGCCUACUUGAGGGAAUCUUUCUGCCCAGGCAGAGUUUGUGUUAGCCUGUAUUGUUUCCCUAAAGUGUAUGCUCCCCACCUAGGCUCAUAGUUUUGCCCAUCCAGACUUUGACACUGCUUAUUGGGAUUGUAAUUAUGUUAGUUUGCUUGAAACUCAGGCACUCUGGCAUGGGAUGUAGCAACCCAACUGGCAUUGUGAUCCCUAGGCCAAAUGCUGAUUGCUGUAGUACCAAGGGUUUUGAGGCCCCAAAUUAAAAUGUAUUUCAACCCGUUAGUUGUAUGUCAAGCAAAAAUUAUCCUGUAGCAUAUGAGACAUGUAAAUGAAGGGAAAAAGUUUAUUCCUUGUGCCUUUCAGUCUAUUGUACAUACCUUACUUGGACAACAUGAGAUUUGACAUACUGUCUUCUCAGUUUAGAUCCAUGAAAUGUUUCAUUCAUCUGUUAAAAAGUAAAAUUGAAAGUGUCUUAUGUUUAAUUUUUUCUCAUUUUAAAUUUUCAUUUUGGAAAACUUCAAAUAUAUAUAGUAGCAUAAAGAAUAGUAACAUGCAUCCAUUACUCAGCUUGAGUAAUUAUCAAUAGAUUCCCUUUUGCUCCUCUCUGUCUCACAGGAAUUAAAUGAUUCCUUAACAUCAUCCAAUUUACAGUCUUAAGCUUUCCCAGGUCAAGGGGAAUAGCAUGAUAGAAUAUUCAAGGGAUCACUGAGUUUGUUUUUCUUCUAUGUGUAACCUUUUAUUGAAUAUAAAUGCCAUGAAACCUAAUAGAAAUGUUCCCUGAAUGAGAAGUUUUUGUACUAUAUUUUUGUACUAUGUCAGGCUUCUUUAAUGCUUGUACUGCAAAUCUAAUUUUCGCAUGUUUUCAAUUACAUGCUUUUGUAAAUUUAAAAGUGGGGGGUACAUGGAAAUCUUACGGAGAAAUUUUUUGUAACAAUCAGUUUUUCAGCUGCACCCCUGACUGCCUAACCUAACAGAUGAUUUCCUAUAGUUGGGCCUUUACACAUCUCUAGUCAAUCAGUUUUGUUCUUGUUGCUUUUACUCAGGCAGAGACAGGCUUUAUAAACAAUGACUUAUUGUUGGAAUUGAGAAGAGUUCAUUUAUGCUUUUUCCUUAUCCAAAGGAAUUGGAAUGUGCUUAUUUAGUCAGUAAAUACCUUUUGAAGUACAACUAUGAACAAGAUUUAUUGAGUCAUACUUCCUUAGUGGUUUAAUGAAGAAAACAGAUAACAGAGGAAGAAAUAACUAUAAAUAUGAUAAUGUGAAAUAUUAUUAAGUGAUAUAAAGAAUGUAAAAUAAUGAGAUGUAGUAUGUAAGUUCUCAAGUUAAGCCUCUUUGAAGAAUUGACAUUUGAAACCUGAAAGAUGUAAAAUUGACAAUUAAGAGAAGAUGGAGAGGAGUCCAACGUGGAAGUUCCUGGCGCAGCAGGCUUUCGUAGAAAACGCCUGGAAGCGGCAAAUGAAGGCCCAAGUGAGUGGAGGCGGCGCCGCCAAGGCUGGAAUAGAAGUCGCUGCUGAAGCUGGGGCCUCUCUCGAACGAUUGGGCGAGUACAGACAGGCGGUUCCUCAUAGGUGGCUUUUUCUCGAGUAUUUUUUCCAGUCUUUUUGGAACCCGGGAAUGAGGAUUUUAAUUUUGGGACCAGAUGGAGCAGGGAAAAAAACCACAAUUUUGUAUAGAUUACAGGUUGGAGAAGUCGUUACCACUAUUCCUACCACUGGACUUAAUGUAGAGACAGUGAUGUACAAAAACCUUAAAUUCUAAGUCCAGGAUUUAGGAGGACAGGCAAGUAUCAGGCCAUACUGGAGAUGUUACUAUUCAAAUACAGAUGCAGUCAUUUAUGCAGUGGACAGUUGUGACUGAGGCCGAAUUGGAAUUUCCAAAUCAGAAUUAGUUGCUAUGUUGGAGGAAGAAGAGCUGAGAAAAGCCAUUUUAGUGGUGUUUGCAAAGAAGCAGGACAUGGAGCAGGCCAUGACUCCCUCAGAGAUGGCAAAUUCACUUGGGUUACCUGCCUUAAAGGUUCGCAAGUGACAAAUAUUCAAAACAUCAGCAACCAAAGGCACUGGCCUGGAUGAGGCCAUGGAAUGGUUAGUUGAAACAUUAAAAAGGAGACAGUAAUUCAUUCACAGGAGGUCCUCUGAAAUGAAGGCUAUUUCAUCUAUCUCUGGAAACAGUCAAGUGUGCCUCACACUACUAAGUGUUGAUACUAAGUAUGAUUGUUGGCACACCCUGAAGUGACUGCGAUGUUUGUAAUAAACGUAAAAAAUAAUUAUUUGGUUGGAAGGGUAACUUGAUUGAAUCACUUGGAGUUCCAUAUAAUGUAAAAUAUUCUUUCCUUGCUUUCAUGUGUUAAAAUAUAUAUUCUGCUGUAUGGAAUUCUUAUUCAGAGACAGUCCCAUUAAAUACACUCUUAUUGGGGGAAAAAUCCUCCUAUUUUUGAAUUAGUGGUUGCAGCUUGUUUGUAUAAACACUAACAAAUAAACUCAGAUUUUUCCCCCUUAAAAGGAAUUAAGUCAACCUAAAAAUGAUAGAUUAAGUAGGCUUGGGACAUAGGAUGUAUUAUAGUCUUCAUUUGCUUAACUGACGACUUGAAGCUGUUUUGUUUAAAAGCUUUUGAUUAUGGGCAUGAAUAUUAUUUUGGUGGUGGACUUAUCUGUAAUUGUCAUUUUAUAGUACUUUAUAGUUAGAAAAGUUCACCCACAUUGACCUUUUGGAUUUGUACAGGAACACUGGGAAGCAGGUGGGAUGGGUUGCAUUGUCUUCAGUGUGUGGAUGUGGACCCAGGGUUCUGAUAGGUUGGCUUGUUCAAGGCCACCUGCUAGUAAGUUGAGAAUAGGGCUUUAAGCAAGACUUUUAAGUCAGAAACUUGGGUCAUAAAGUAUAGUACAUAGUCCUAAAAAUAUCAACAUUGACAAAACAACCUAACUCUUAAAAUUAUGCUAAAGUAAUCACAGUAUAUUCUAAACAAUGUCUACAUUACUUGUCCAUACUAGCGGAAGUGAUGCAUAUUAAAGCAGAAAAUUCAUAUUAAAGGAAAUGUUUUAAAAAUCUAUUUUAAGCAGCAUUUUAAAAGAUGCCUUUACUGUAUUUCAUUCCUUUUACCUGUGAUUGGACAUGUAAAUUUGGUUAAAAGUCAAAAUCUUACUGGUUCUAUAGGAGAAAAUUACACAUUCUUGGUUUUCAAGAUUGCUUUCGGGGCUGGCAUUGUGGUGCAGCUGGUUAAGCCUCUGCCUCCAAUGCCAGCAUCCCGUAUGGGCACUGGUUCAAGUCCUAACUGUUUCACUUUUGAUCCAGUUCCCUGCUGAUAAGCCUGGGAAAGCAGUGGAACCUGCCACCCACAUGGGAGACCUGGAUAAAUUUUCCUUGCUAUUGGCUUCUACCUGACCCAGCCCUGGCCAUCUGGUGAUAAACCAGCGGAUGGAAGCUCUCUCACUCUCUGUUUCUCCCUCAAACUGUAAUUUUUCCUUUCAAAUUUGUUUUUCAAAUUAGGCCUUCUGCUAGGCUAUGAGUUUAAAAAGCAAUUUAUGUGUUAAGGAACUUUCCAAACUACCAAGUCCACUCCAUUGCAGGAUCAGCAAUGUGACAAGAGUAAAUACAGUUAUGAGUAAUUACUGAAGGGGGCUAAGUUUUUUUCUUUUUCAUUCUGGACAACCAGCAUUUCAAAAAUCAAUGCUGGUAAAGAGAAUAAUUGCGUUGAGCCCCCCAAACCUCAGGAACACUAGUAGUUCAUUUCCUGGCUCUCACUGUCCUUGCAGAUGGGGCAUUCUCUCUGCUCAUAUGAAAGCAGUUUUCUCUUUUCAUCUGUGGGAUUUUAAGAAAACUCCUUGCCCAAUCCCCAGCACCCAUUCCUGAUUUGGUCUCCCCCCGCCGUGGGCACUAGAAUUUUCAGUACAACUACUACUACUCUUGAUUUCAGAGACUUUCUCAUUGUGUCAUCAGUGUCCGGAAUAGUAUAGUGCCUGGCACAUUGGGGCAUUUAAGGAUGUGUUCACAACUGACAGGAUGUGUAUUUGUCAGCCUGAAAGAUAGUACCCCUACAAUUUAUACUUGCAUUCCUUCUAGUCAAUGGCACAGGCUAGGACAAGCUAGAUCAAGAAAACAAGCUCACUUAUGAGCAACAAAGUAGCUACUCCCUAGCAAUUCAGGAGCACUGAAAAAUCUCAAGUAUAGGGAAGUAAGGACUUGGCAGGCAGGCAGAUGCACUCCCUGAAGGCACACGGUUCUUGCUCUCUUGAAUUGUGAUGGCAUGCAGCUGUCCCAGAUGUCAGGACUUUGGUGAUCCUGAUCCCUCUGCUUUGUCACAAAGUAUUGGAUGGGAUAGCAUGUACAUUUAUUUAAUGGAGUUUAGAUUAUAAGGUCUUUGUCUAGCAGAAAACAGCUGCAUAAGUAGGUUACCAGGAUCUGAAUGCUGAUAUUUAACAAAAGCAAGACCAAAAGAAAAUCUGAAUGCUAUUUUGUGAGAAGACUGAAAAUGGGAAAGGCACCGAACUUGGUAUUAGAACAUGAAUUCUGGGUUUAAAUGCUCACCACUUCAGCUUCUUUUCUAUAAAACAAGACCUGGACAAAUGAUACCAAAGUUUUUGUUGAGUGAGCUCUAACAUUUUAUAACUCUGGUUGGUAGCUGUACUGUGUUAUGUGAUUCUGCUAUAAAGGGGAAGUGGCAGAAUUGCCAUCUGAAUACCUGAGAUGCACUUUAACUGUGGAAAUGUAAACUGUGAGGGCAGGGACCAUCUUAUUUACUGUUAGUGUCCCUGGCAUCUAAUGUGGUGUACCUGGCACAAAGUAAAUCAAUAAAUAUGAAUUAAAAAAAUGAGAAAAAGAAGAAGAAACAAGUAAGAAUAUUAGGUAAGAAUGAGAUUUAUAUAUUUGAAGGAGAAAAAUAAAGCUAUGAUCCAAGUAAAGUAAGCAAGGGAGAAAGUGCAUAAGUUAAAGUUUUCCAAGUAGGGAGGGGUAAGAUUAGAGGGCUUGCAUAAAAUGAUAAGAAGUGUAGAUCUUAUUUCUAAAUAGAGUGCAUGGAGGGGGUUUCUGGAAAGAUGAUGAGUAAAUUGUACCAUAUUUUUCUUCCAUUCGCAAUUCCAAUGUAUCUGCUUAACCUGGAGUCACAUAGAUCAGACAUUAUAGGAGUCAGGGAAGCAAGGAAGUGAUGAGGAACUUUCUCUCCAAUGGAUCAGGCAAGAACCUAGAGAUUUGUCUGAGAAUCUUGUGCAAAUAAAUAAUUACAUGGGGCCUUUGGAAUAGCUUUUUGUGAAUAACCAGAAUAAAAUUGACAUGAACUUAGAUGAGUGAGUUUCUGUGGCCCUACAGAGGCCAAAAAGGAUUUGGAAAGGAGGAAGAGGAUGAAGUUUCAUUUCUUCUGAGGUUGGGCUAAUGCAGUGGAUUGAAAAUAGGAAGCCAGAAGAAAUUUUCUGAGGUUUUAGUAUGGAGAAACAGAAUGCCUGCUGCCUGACUUUCAGCCUAUAAGACUUAAGAACAUCUUGCCUUCCAUCAUGUGAGUCCAUAGACAAGUGGCCCAAAUAAGCCCAUAAAAAAUUGAUAAUACAAAUAAAGGAGCAUACCAGGCAGAUCCAAAGAGAACUUCAGGAGGAAACAGAUACCAACUCAAAAAACAAUGUCAAACAAGCACACAAGAAUUUUCAGAAACAGCACCCCCUACCCCUAAAAAAGACUAUUUGGUGCUGAAACAUAAUUUUAAAGCCUAAAAAUUCAAUAUGUCAGAUUGAUUUAAAAAACAUCCUGCUAAUUUUUAAAAUUUUGAGAGGCACACACACAUACACACACACACAGAGGGAGAGAAAAAUCAAGCGAGCUUUUGUUUGCUGAUUCCCUCCACAAAUGCUUGUAAUAGCCAGGGCUGGGCCGGGACAAAGCUAGAAGUCCAGAAUUCAAUCCAGGUCUCCCACAUGGGUAGCAAGGACUCAAGUACUUGAGCCAUAAUUACCUGCUGUCUUCCAGGGUACACAUUAGCAGGAAGCUGGAAUCAAGAGCUGAGGCUGGACUUGAACCCAGGCGCUCCAUCAUGGGCUAUGGUCAUUCCAAGCAGCAUCUUAACUAGGCCAAACAUCUGCCCUGUCAGAUUGAUUUAAUUGGGUGAUGUAAUCAAGAUGGCUGACUAGAGGAGCCUGGAGCACUUCUCUCCAUAAGAAAUGACCAAAAAUAAAGAAAAAAGGCCAGGUAUUUCUUCAGAAUAUUUGAGGAAAAGCUGCAAAGUAUAGUGAGAAUGUGACAGUUACAUCUUAGAACAUGGAGAUAUAUAACCUUGUAAAAAAAGAGAACUAAGUACAUGGCAUUUACUUUUCUGUUUCUCAAAGUCAAUCCUGAACCAAGAAUGACUUUGCUGGGCAGGGAAUAGGUAGGCAAGAGACCCCUGCUGUCUUAACUCAUCCAUGAAUAUCUGAAGCAUUUGCUGAUGGAGAAUCCUGCAGACUUCACAAGCCCUGAGCCAUUUGGAAAGCCACUAGGUCACCUCACUGCUGCAUUGCCCUGGAGGAAGAGCUCACCUUAUGUUGUGUAACCCCCCACUGAUGAUCCCACUGCACAAUGCCAUCUGGAGAGCCCCCCACUCACCCAGUGAAAUUUCUUGGCAUAUUUAACAUACAAAAUUGAACUGUGCAGACCUGGAAAAAUUUAGAAGGCCAAAAACAAGUAAUGAGUCAGUACUAAAAAGUCUCCCAACAAAGAAAAGCCAAGAUUGGAUGGCUACAUUGAUACAUGGCUACAUAACCAAACCUUUUAAAAAAACUGUCUUUCUUUAAUAGAGAGAAGACAGAUUCAUUCUCUCUCUCUCUCUCUCUCUCUCUCACACACACACACACACACACACACAGCUUUUAUCUGUAGGUUCAUACCCUAAAUGCCAUAAUAACCUGGAUUAGGCUGGGCUGGGGUUGAGAGUUUGGAUCUCAAUCCAGGUCUCCCAUCUGAGUGGCAGAGACCUACCUACUUGAGCUAUCACCAUCUGCCUCCCAGAAUCUUCAGCAAAAGCAAAAAUUAGAAAAUUUUUCAAACUUAGAAGCUUCUGUACAUGAAAGGAAAUGAUCAAGAGUGGAAAUAUAACCUUACAGAAUGGGAGAAAAUAUUUCAAACCAUUCAUCUCACAAAUGAUUAAUAUCUAGAAUAUAUAACUGACUCACGAAUCCAACAGCAGAAAAAAAAAAAAAACCAAGAAC